rnacentral:rRNA from 1 species
AUUGAACGCUGGCGGCAUGCCUUACACAUGCAAGUCGAACGGUAACAGGGUGCUUGCACCGCUGACGAGUGGCGAACGGGUGAGUAAUGCAUCGGAACGUACCCGGAAGUGGGGGAUAACGUAGCGAAAGUUACGCUAAUACCGCAUAUUCUGUGAGCAGGAGAGAGGGGGAUAGCAAGACCUCUCGCUUUCGGAGCGGCCGAUGUCGGUUUAGCUAGUUGGUGGGGUAAAAGCCUACCAAGGAGACGAUCCGUAGCUGGUCUUCGAGGAUGAUACGCCACACUGGGACUGAGACACGGCCCAGACUCCUACGGGAGGCAGCAGUGGGGAAGUUUGGACAAUGGGGGCAACCCUGACCCAGCCAUGCCGCGUGAGUGAAGAAGGCCUUCGGGUUGUAAAGCUCUUUCGGACAGAAAGAAAACGCACGGUUUAAUACAUCGUGUGGAUGACGGUACUGUCAUAAGAAGCACCGGCUAACUACGUGCCAGCCGCCGCCGUAA